rnacentral:rRNA from 1 species
UGCCUUGAGGUGGGGGACAACAGUUGGAAACGACUGCUAAUACCGCAUAAUGUCUACGGACCAAAGGGGGCUUCGGCUCUCGCCUUUAGAUUGGCCCAAGUGGGAUUAGCUAGUUGGUGAGGUAAUGGCUCACCAAGGCGACGAUCCCUAGCUGGUUUGAGAGGAUGAUCAGCCACACUGGGACUGAGACACGGCCCAGACUCCUACGGGAGGCAGCAGUGGGGAAUAUUGCACAAUGGGCGCAAGCCUGAUGCAGCCAUGCCGCGUGUGUGAAGAAGGCCUUCGGGUUGUAAAGCACUUUCAGUCAGGAGGAAAGGUUAGUAGUUAAUACCUGCUAGCUGUGACGUUACUGACAGAAGAAGCACCGGCUAACUCCGUGCCAGC